GCCUGGGUGGCUCAGUCUGUUGAGCGUCUGACUUUGGCUCAGGUCAUGAUCUCGCGGUUCAUGGGUUUGAGCCCCACGUCGGGCU
rnacentral:tRNA from 1 species